GGAGUUGUGGCUCAGUGGUAUAGCACAUGCCUAACAUGUGUGAGGCACUGGGUUUGAUUCUCAGCACCA
rnacentral:tRNA from 1 species